rnacentral:lncRNA from 10 species
AUAAGACCUCUGGGCUGCUGGGCCAUAGAAACCCAGCUUCUGCCUGGUCUUCUCAGGGUGCUAGCUCUCGGAACCUAGCUCCAGAGAGGGCACACCUGGGUGUGCCAGCCAACAGCCAGAUGUGAGUGAGGAAGCCCUAAGGGUGACUCUAGCCUCAGCCACCAUCUGACGAUCUUUAAAUCCGUAAGAUUAACACUCAAGGAACUACGUUCAAAGAAUCCCAUCUGAGAAGCCUCAUCUGCAGCUGGACUUGAUUUCAAUGAUGAGAUGCUGGACUUGAAGCGGAUGCCCUGAUGGGAUGCGGUUUGGGAAUCUCACGGGAAGGAAAUAAGGCAUCAUUUUGCAGAUAUGAAGAAUGUAAAUUGUUGCCAGAGGAGGAACGUGGCAAAUGUUAUUUGCAAGAUGGUCAGAACGACGUCUCCCAUCCCAGAAGCUCUUCUCACAGAGUGACGUUGACCUCCCUCCCAGCAUGAGGCGGGUUCUGCAUUUCUUCCCCUUCAAUCCAGGCAGGCUUGUGACUGCUGCUGAAGUGACACUAUGUGACUUCCAAGCCUAGGCUGUAAAAGGGCAAUACACAGCUUCUGUCUGGUCCUCUUGGAAGCUUGCUCUUGGAUCUUCCAGAACUGUGGGGGAUAAAAUCACUGUUAUUGAACCAAGCCACUCCAUUUUGGGGUGAUUUUGUUAUGCAGCAAUAAAUAACUGAUACAACUAGAGUAACAAAUAUAUGAAGAGAUUAAUUCAUUCAACACAUAUAUUUGCCAGGCACACUUAUAGGUGCCAAGGAUACAGAAAAAAAUCUCUGCCCCCCCCCACCCCGGGCUUACAUUCUAGUGGGGGGAAGUGGACUGUAAAGUACAUAAUAGAUAUAGCAUGUUAGAUAGUGAUAAAUGCCAAGGAGAAAAUGCAAAGAAAGGGAAUAGCAAGGGAUACCAAGGUUAGGUGAAUAAAUUACAUUUUUAAAUAGGGUGGACAGGGAAGGACUCACCAAGGUGAUAUUUGAGUAAAGAUCUAAAGCAAAUAAGGGAGUGACUGACCCAUAUGUAUAUCUGUGGGAAGAGGAUUCUUCAUAGAGGAAGUAGUCUAGUGCCCUAGCAGGGGUGGAGAGCAAUGAGGCCAGAAUGGCUGAGUUUUUGGAGUAAGGGGAGUGUUGUAGGAGAUGAGAUCAGAGAGAAUGCGAGGUGAGCGUUUUGCCUUCCAGGUUAUUGUAAGGAUUUCUUUCUUUCUUUUUUUUUUUUUUUUGAGAUGGAGUCUCAGUCUGUCACCCAGGCUGGAGUGUGGUGGCUAGAUCAUAGCCCCUUGCAUUUGCUGGAGCUUCUGCUCCAGCAGCCUUGAAUUUCUGGGCUCAGGCGAUCCUCCCACCUCGAUCUCUGGAAGUGCUGGGACUACAGGCGUGCAACACCACACCUGGCUUUAGGGUUUUUUUUCCAGCCCCUUUCUUUCUUUUUUCUUUUUUUUUUUUUUGAGACGCAAUUUUUGCUCUUUUUUUGCCCACGCUGAAGUUCAAUGGCACACAAUCUCGGGUCACUGCAACCUCUGCCUCCCAGGUUCAAGCAAUUCUGCCUCAGCCUCCCAAGUAGCUGGGACUUGUACAGGCACGCAUCACCAUGCUUGGCUAAUUUUGUAUUUUUAGUAGAGACUGGGUUUCACCAUGUUGACCAGGCUGGUCUCGAACUCCUGACCUCACGUGAUCUGCCCAUCUCGGCCUCCCAAAGUGUUGGGAUUACAGGCGUGAGUCACCGCACCCAGCAUCUUUUUCUUGAGAUAGGGUCCCCACUUUGUCACCCAGGUUGGAGUACAGUGGUGUAAUCUCGGCUCACUGCAGCCUCAACUUCCUGGACUCAAGCAAUCCUCCUGCCAAAGCCCCUGAGUAGCUGGGUCCACAGGUGCAUGCCACCACGCCUAGCUAUAGUUGUUUUUUUUUUGGUUUUUUUUUUUUUUUUUUUUGAGACAGAGUGUCACUCUGUCACCCAGGCUGGAGUACAGUGGCACAAUCUUGGCUCACUGCAAUCUCCGCCUCCUGGGUUCAAGCGAUUCUCUUGCCUCAGCCUUCUGAGUAGCUGGGAUUAUAGGCGUACACCACCACAUCCAGCUGAUUUUUGUAUUUUUAAUAGAGACGGGGUUUCACCAUGUUGGCCAGGCUGGUCUCAAACUCUUGACCUCAGGUGAUCCGCCCACCUCAGCCUCCCAAAGUGCUGGGAUUACAGGUGUGAGCCACCACGCCCAGCCAAAGUUUUAACAAGAUCAUCCUACCUGCUUUUCUGAGAAAGGAGGUUAAGGGGAGAGGCAGGAGGACCAGUGAUGCUGUUGGAAUAAUCCAGGAGAGAGCCAGCAGCAGCAACUCAAACCAAAGUGACAGGAGGGGACCUGGGGAGUAGUCGUCGAGUUCUGGGAUACAUUUUGUAGGUAGAACAGAGGGAUUUUUUUGUUUGUUUAGACAGAGUCUCACUUUGUAGCCCAGGCUGGAGUACAGUGGCCCGAUCUCAGCUCACUGCAACCUCCGCCUCCCGGGUUCAAGUGAUUCUUGUGCCUCAGCCUCCCAAGCAGCUGGGAUUACAGAAGCCCGCCACCAUGCCCAGCUAAUUUUUGUAUUUUUAGUAGAGACGGGGUUUCACCAUGUUGGCCAGGCUGGUCUCGAACUCCUGCCCUCAGGUGAUCCACCCACCUUGGUCUCCCAAAGUGCUAGGAUUGCAGGCGUGAGCCACUGCACCCAGCUGAGCAGAGAGAUUUGUGGACAGAUUGGACAUAGGAGGAGAGCACAACAGCGGAGUCAAGGAUGACUCGAAGGUUUGUGGCCUGAGCGACUUGGAAGGAUGGAGUUGUCAUUUACUGUGAUGAGGAGACUAAGAGGAGCGGGCGUGGGGUGAAAUGUACAGAGUUCAGGUUGGGAUAUGUUAAGUCUGAGGACCUUUUAGUCAUCUGAGAUGGCCAGUGUGUACAGUACAGGAGAGAAGUGGAGGUUUGAGAUAUACAUCUGGGGUCAACGUGAGUGGCUAGUAACGAAUGAAAGCUGUGAUAUUGAAGUUAUCUAAUUGUUUAAAAUGGGGGUUAGGUCUAGAGCUGAUCUCAAGGCCAAAGUCCCUUCCAAAAUGCUAUGCUGCUUCUCCUUGGGCAUUCUGAGCUAUUCUGAACUUCUAGCAUUCUGGAACUCUGCCAUACAGCAGGAGUCGGGAAGAGAUGAGGCUGGAAAGGCCAGAUGGCCUAGAUUCAUGUGCCAGUUCCACUACAUUAUGGUUGUGGAGGGUUAAAUUAAUUAAUAUAUGUGGCCGGGUGCGGUGGCUCUUGUCUGUAAUCCCAGCACUUUGGGAGGCCAAGGCAGGUGGAUCACGAGGUCAGGAGAUCGAGACCACCCUGGCUAACACGGUGAAACCCUGUCUCUACUAAAAAUACAAAAAAUUAGCUGGGCAUGGUGGCGGACACCUGUAGUCCCAGCUACUCGGGAGGCUGAGGCAGGAGAAUGGCGUGAACUUGGGAGGCGGAGCUUGCAGUGAGCCGAGAUCGCGCCACUGCACUCCAGCCUGGGCGACAGAGCGAGACUCUGUCUCAAAAAAAAAAAAAAAAUUAAUACAUGUAAGAGUGGCUUGCACAUAGAAUAUGCUCAUGAAAUGCAAAUGAUCAUCACCAAUUCAGAAUGACUUUCUUCACCAACACUAUCUGACACCAGCAUCAAGCUCAUAGGCUACUGUGUCUCCUUCAAUCAAAAACGUACCUUGAGGCCUGGUGUGGUGGCUCAUGCCUGUAAUCCCAGCACUUCGGGAGGCUGAGGCAGGUGGAUCACUUGAGGUCUGGAGUUCAAGACCAGCCUGGCCAACAUGGUGAAACCCCAUCUCUACUAAAAAAAAAAAAAAAAAAAAAAAAAAAUUAGCUGGACAUGGUGGCAUGUGCUCUAGUCCCAGCUACUCGGGAGGCUAAGGCAGGAGAAUCACUUGAACCUGGAAGGUGGAGGUUGCAAUGAGCCAAAAUUGCGCCACUGCACUCCAGCCUGGGUGACGGAGCGAGACUCCGUCUGAAAAAAACCAAAAAACAAAAAAAAGUACCUACUCAAAUGAGGCCUAUUCAUGUCACUUUAGCACUCCAAUCAAAUUGCUGUGAAAUUCACUACUCGAUGUACCAAACCCAGAGGUUACAAAAAGUGAACGGUGUGCUCAGCUUUUUUUUCAAAAGAUAUUCAAUCAAUAUCUUUUUAAAAUCUACACAACACUGAGUCACAACACAAGGCAGAUUUUAAUCAUCUUUCUCUCAAGGAUCAUUUCUCUUCUGCCAAUCUGAUUCUCUUAUUUGACAAUCUUCCUUUUAGCCAAGACCUACUUUUAAUAUAUUUUGGGAUUUAUUUCAAUAUCCACAAUUAAGAGACUGCAGACAAACACAAAACAGCAACUCUUGAGACUCUAAAAAUGGAAACCCAAAUCAUCUUCCCCCUAUAGAUAGUACAGGCAGGAGACUGACUGUGUCUCUGUCCUAUCCGGCAGGUCCUUGAAACCUCUGAAUUAUUCAAAACGACAAGUGCAUAUGGCGGUAUAAAGCAGCAUUUUAUUACAUUCACGGGGACAACUGGAGGAUUAAAAUAAGAGUUUGGAAUCUGGGAUGGAGAGGAGACAAGCAGUACACACUGGUCAGAUAACCACACAAACAAAAUUAGGCAAGAUGCCAGUCAGUAUCCUAAUUCUACAGGCACUAAGCUUAGAUAUGUAAGUUUAGUAAAAAGUAAACCCAAUUAAACAGAAUCUUCUGCAUGGUGAGAAUAUGGAUUUUUUUUCUUUUUGCUUAUAUUGCCUAAAAUUUUUGCUAUCAUGAACUUUUUCCUUAUUUAUUGUGUCUAUCUAUCUAUCUAUUUUUUGAGACGAAGUCUCACUCUUGUCCCCUAGGCUGGAGUGCGAUGGCGCGAUCUCAGCUCACUGCAACCUCCACCUCCUGGGUUCAAGCAAUUCUCCUGCCUCGGCCCCCCGAGUAGCUGGGAUUAUAGGCACCCACCACCACGCCCAGCUAAUUUUUGUAUUUUCAGUUGAGAUGGGGUUUCACCAUGUUGGCCAGGCUGGUCUAGAACUCCUGACCUCAGACGAUACACCUGCCUUGGCCUCCCAAAGUGCUGGGAUUACAGGCGUGAGCCACCGCACCUGGCCAUGUUAUAUAUAUAUAUAUAAAUAUAUAUAAAUAAAUAUAUAUGUAAAUAUAUAUAAAUAUAUAUUUUUUCUUUUUUGAGACGGAGUCUCGCUGUCACCCAGGCUGGAGUGUGAUGACGUCAUCUCGGCUCACUGCAACCUCCACCUCCCAGGUUCAAGCAAUUCUCCUGUCUCAGCCUCCCGAGUAGCUGGGACUACAGGCGCUGCCACUACGCCCGGCUAAUUUUUUGUAUUUUUAGUAGAGAUGGGGUUUCACCAUGCUGGCCAGGCUGGUCUCGAAUUCCUGACGUCAGGUGAUCCAUCCGCCUCAGCCUCCCAAAGUGCUGGGAUUACAGGCGUGAGCCACCGGGCCCGGCCUGAGGAAGAAUCUUGAAGGUCAGGGAAGAUACUUGAGAUAAAGCAGAAGAAACUCAAGAAAGGCAGAAGACUGAAUAUGACAAAGCUUACCCCCUCAAAUCAGCAAACAGUGAAAUGAGAACCAAAUGUCGAGACUGACAUGAAUAAGAAAGUUUUCUUUUAAAAAUAGCAGCUCCUAAUUGGAUCCAGGAAAGAUCAUUCACCACAUGCAAACUCACUUGGCUCUUG